rnacentral:rRNA from 1 species
ACGGUCCUAAGGUAGCGAAAUUCCUUGUCGGGUAAGUUCCGACCUGCACGAAUGGCGUAAUGAUGGCCAGGCUGUCUCCACCCGAGACUCAGUGAAAUUGAACUCGCUGUGAAGAUGCAGUGUACCCGCGGCAAGACGGAAAGACCCCGUGAACCUUUACUAUAGCUUGACACUGAACAUUGAGCCUUGAUGUGUAGGAUAGGUGGGAGGCUUUGAAGCGUGGACGCCAGUCUGCGUGGAGCCAACCUUGAAAUACCACCCUUUAAUGUUUGAUGUUCUAACGUUGGCCCCUGACCGGGGUUGCGGACAGUGUCUGGUGGGUAGUUUGACUGGGGCGGUCUCCUCCCAAAGCGUAACGGAGGAGCACGAAGGUUAGCUAAUCCUGGUCGGACAUCAGGAGGUUAGUGCAAUGGCAUAAGCUAGCUUGACUGCGAGCGUGACGGCGCGAGCAGGUGCGAAAGCAGGUCAUAGUGAUCCGGUGGUUCUGAAUGGAAGGGCCAUCGCUCAACGGAUAAAAGGUACUCCGGGGAUAACAGGCUGAUACCGCCCAAGAGUUCAUAUCGACGGCGGUGUUUGGCACCUCGAUGUCGGCUCAUCACAUCCUGGGGCUGAAGUAGGUCCCAAGGGUAUGGCUGUUCGCCAUUUAAAGUGGUACGCGAGCUGGGUUUAGAACGUCGUGAGACAGUUCGGUCCCUAUCUGCCGUGGGCGCUGGAGAAUUGAGGGGGGCUGCUCCUAGUACGAGAGGACCGGAGUGGACGCAUCACUGGUGUUCGGGUUGUCAUGCCAAUGGCACUGCCCGGUAGCUAAAUGCGGAAGAGAUAAGUGCUGAAAGCAUCUAAGCACGAAACUUGCCCCGAGAUGAGUUCUCCCUGAGACUUUAAGUCUCCUGAAGGAACGUUAAAGACGAUGACGUUGAUAGGCCGGGUGUGUAAGCGCAGCGAUGCGUUGAGCUAACCGGUACUAAUGAACCGUGAGGCUUAACCUU